rnacentral:rRNA from 1 species
UACGUAGGGGCGAGCGUUGUCCGGAUUUACUGGGCGUAAAGGGUGAGUAGGCGGUUAUAUAUGUCAGGUGUAAAAGGCUAUGGCUUAACCAUGGUUAGCACUUGAAACUGUGUGACUUGAGUGCAGGAGAGGUAAGUGGAAUUCCUAGUGUAGCGGUGAAAUGCGUAGAUAUUAGGAGGAACACCAGUGGCGAAGGCGACUUACUGGACUGUAACUGACGCUGAGUCACGAAAGCGUGGGUAGCAAACAGGAUUAGAUACCCGGGUAGUCCCUGA